rnacentral:misc_RNA from 1 species
UCUCGGCUUGUCACCGGCAGUCCCCUUAGAGUGCCCAACUUAAUGCUGGCAACUAAGGGCGAGGGUUGCGCUCGUUGCGGGACUUAACCCAACAUCUCACGACACGAGCUGACGACAGCCAUGCAGCGCCUGUGUUCCCGUUCCCUUUCGGGCACAGCCGGGUUUCCCCAGCCUCCAGGACAUGUCAAGGGUAGGUAAGGUUUUUCGCGUUGCAUCGAAUUAAUCCACAUAAUCCACCGCUUGUGCGGGUCCCCGUCAAUUUCUUUGAGUUUCACCGUUGCCGGCGUACUCCCCAGGUGGAUUACUUAUCGCUUUCGCUAAGCCACUAAAAGUUGCCCUCUAGCAGCGAGUAAUCAUCGUUUACAGUGCGGACUAC